AUGCGACCUGAAGAUUAGCAAAAUUCCCAGUCCUUUCCUCGUUGCUCUGGUGCUCAAAAUAAUUGGAGACUAAAAUACAAUGGCGUGUGCGCAGAGAAAACCAAACGUCUUGUCAGACUCGUGAGCAAUGUGGGUGAAGUCGCAUUCCUCCCUGCUUCGUGUCCUGGAGGAGCUGGCUUGGAGCACUUCGCUGAGGCAGCUCCUCACGUCUGCUGCCCUCGUUUUUUUUAUGGUUUGAGAGAAAUUUGGGGGAAAAAACCUCAAUUUGAGCAGAAAAAGAUGAGUUUGCUGCAGAAGUACCCCCUUGGAAAUGGAACAACUGUGCCGUGGGCUCCUCGGAAUUAAUUCUGAUGUUAACGUAUGAGAAGUGGAUGAGAAAUGAAUACUUCAACAGGCUUUUAACGUGGCAACACUCCACGCCAAGCUCUUGGUCCUGACUGUCACAGAAUUUGGGGACUGGCAUCGUGUCCGUCUGGGGACGGGCGCGGUGCUGCCCUCGGAGCAGGAGCGACAGGCAGUGAUAAAUGGUGUCUGGGUGAGGACCACGCAGCAAACAGCAGAAGGAGCUGCGGAGAGAAGUGUCCCGGACUCAUUAAAAGUAGGGAAAUCUGGAAAAAAAACCCUCGGUUGCCAGCUCGUUGCACUUUCUCACAGCCCUCAGCGUUUUUCUCUUGGUGUUAGACCUAAACAACAGGAGGCUGAACAGAAAGGAUGCGGAUUCCACGCCGGAGCUUUCCAUCCCUCACAAAUCUCCCCUUGCCCUUGUUCCAGCGGCUGCAGGGAGCAUCGGUGGAAACUUUCACAAUGGAAAAAAUCCCCGGGUUUGGCAGGAGCAGCUGAUGUGGUUUGCUGGAGGGUUGAUUUCGUGAAUUUUUCGGAGCCAGAACCGGGCUGGAUCCUGCCAGAUGCCUCGGACCAAACUCAGGGCUGAAGGGCUGGAAUUUAUCUCCAGGUGGCUGCUGCGUGGAGCUUGCUUCCCAGCCUCGUUUUUGGGGCCUUGCUGCUCGGCUUACCCUGGUCAGACGCCUUCAGGAGCAAAGCAGGGAGGAGAUUUCCCCAAAAAACAAUUAAAAAUCGCGGUGCUUACUGCAACCAGAGGUCAGUGUCUCUGCCACGCCGAAGAAAUGAGCGCUGGUGGUGAAGAAUGAAAGUGCAGAGGGCUGCGGGCUGCCCUCAGGGCUGGAAGGAUCCCAAACCCAGCUGGAUUUCCUCCCCCAGAGCCAGACAGUGGGUUUUGAGAAUCCCAGCUGCUUUUCCUUUUUUUUUUUGGCACAGGGAAGGGCUGGGUGACCCCAAGCCAGCCUGGUCCUGCUCUGUGUGGUUUCAGCUCUCACCCUUCCAGCUUCUCCCGUCUCUGCAGGGCACAGCCACUGGGUUUCUGCUCUGCUGAAGCCAUCCCAAGGCAGCAGGGCUUCAAAUCCUACAAAUUCUGCUGCCCUUGGGGUGAGCAGGGGGCAGGGAUGGGGGCAGGACAGCCCCAAAGCACUGCCCCUUCUCCUCCCCUCCACUAUUGCCUUUUAGCUGGGGUGUGGAUGCCUCCAGCAUCCCCAAAACAGCCCAAAUCCUUAGGAUAACCCUUUAGGAUUUUGCUCCGAGCUCUGCUGGGGGAAUGCUGGCCCCGUGGGAGGAUUUCCAGCCGGGUGUAGCUCCCCGGUGCCCUCUUGUCAUCGCUGUCUGUCCCCCCCCUGAAGGAAAACGUGUCCCUGUCCGUCGCUUCCCUGUCGCUAUCUCGUUUGGUGUCCAUCUCUCGCCUCCCAAUAAAGCAUUUGUGCAAAGCCUCGGCUGGGAGCUCCUCUGUUUUAGGGUGUAGAGCUGAUUUUUUGGGACCUCUGACCCAUCCCUGCUCCUGCUUUUCCCCUCCCCUCCAUGCCUGAUUGCUCCCACAUGGCCGGGAACAGCUGAAAAUAAUAAAUGGUAUCUUUUUUCCCAUUACUGGGGUUGCUGCAGGUUUAGGGUCUGGAAUUUGGGGCAGGCUCCAGAACAGGGAUUUGGGGUUGAAAUAUCUGAAGUUCUGCACAUUCCUGUGCCUGCAAGAAAGCCUCGAGAGCCCCGGCAGUGAGACAGCUCCUUAAUUUCUUCC
rnacentral:lncRNA from 1 species